ensembl:lncRNA
AAAUUAUGAAAUAAAAAAAAAAAAAAAGUAAAUGCGAGUAAGUAAAAAAUAGCAUUCAUAUAUAUACAAUUAUAAUGUAUAUAGUCUAAAACAAAACAAAAUUAUAUGUAUAGAAAUUAUUAUUAAACUGAAAUAAUAAUAAAAUUGUUAGUUUUUUUAUAAAAUUGUGUUAUUGAAAAUAUAAGCCAUACAUAUACAUAUAUAUAUAUAUAUAUAUAUAUAUAUAUAUAUAUAUAUUUAAUUAUACAAUUGUAUAUGUACAUAUAUUUACCAUUUUUAAACGCGCAAUUCUGAAAGGUUUUUAUGUUUAAUAAAUGGAGUAACGAAAAAAAUAUAUUGUAAACAACUGAUGAGUUAUAAACAUAUAUAUAAUUAUAUAUUAGCUUAUGUUUAUUCUUUUUUCUCCAUAUCUAAAAUAGUUAUUUUAAAAGCUAUAUAUAUAUAUAUAUUUUAGUAUAUAUAAUAUAUUUUUGAAUGCUCAGCUAAUUUUUUUACAUGUAGAUUACGAAAAAAAAAGAAAAAAAAAAAAGCGUGUUUGUAUAUUUGAAAAAAAAAAAUGAAUUUAUUUAUUUAUUUAUAAAAAACAAUUUUUUUUUUACCUUUUUUAUACAAAGUUAUAUUGCAUAUAUAUAUAUACACGAACAAAUGUACAUAUAAAUAUGUACAUAUAUAUAUAUAUAUAUAUAUAUAUAUAUAUAUAUAUAUAUAUGAAUAUACUAUGUAUAUAUACAUAUUUAUAGCAUUGUAGUUAGCACCCUAAUUUUAUAUAUAAUCAUUUGGGAGUACUACUGGAAGUCAUAGCUUAUUAACAACUUUGUUUUAUUAGGUUUAAAAAAUAAAUCACUAUAUUGUUAUAUAUAUAAAAAAAAAAAAUAAAAUAAAAUAAAUAAAAGUGCUAUAAGUUGUGAAAAAUAAGGAAGCUUAUUUAUAUUUAUGUAAAGAGAAAAAAAAAUGAAUUAUCAAAAUUUGAAAUGUUCGGAAUUAAAAGAUUUGUUAGCCAAAAGAGGUCUACCAUCACAUGGGAAAAAGAAUGAAUUGUUAGAAAGAUUAUUAAAACAUGAAGAAAAUAGUUUAAACCCAGUAAAGUCGUAUGCAAAAGAUAGUAAUAAUAAUUCUAACAACAAUACAAACAAUUCUUUAUCGGAAAAAAACAUAUCAAAUAAAAAUAUAAAUUUAAAAGAAAAAACAGAAGAUUCUUGUACAAAAGAAUUUGAAGGAAACCAUAAUAUAAAUUAUAUAGAAAGUGAAAAAAAAAAAAUAAAAUAUCAGUGAAUGAAAAAGAAUUUAACAAAAGUGGGUUAAGCAGAAUGAAAGGGUUAUUUAAAAAUAUAUUAACCAGUAAUAGUAAUACAAAAGAUUCAAAGGAUUAUGAACAAUCUGGAUUGAAAAAUGAUAGUACAAUGAGAAAAAACGAAAAUAUGAAUAAUAAUCAAGGGGGAAGAAAAUAUAUAGAAAAUAAUAAUGAAGAAAAUGGUAAAAAAACGGCUAUACCAGUAAUAACGUUCUCGAAAGAAUCUAUAUGUAAUCAGAGCAUUUUACAAACAAAUACUACUAUAAGUACAAAUUAAAAUAAAAUAAAAAAAAAAAAAAAAAUAUAUAUAUAU